AGCGGUUCAUCGAUCUCUUCCUGAAAUUGUUGUGAAAAAAGCAGAUCAAGAAUCGGUCGAUAAACCUCUGCAUCCAGCGCUCACUCCCUCUCUCUUAUUCUCUCUUUCAGAAUUUAGUGUUUGUUUUAUGUUCUGCUCUGUUUUUUUUUUAAUGAUUGGGGUUGUCUGUAUGAUUAUGGACCCGUUUGGCUGCU
rnacentral:precursor_RNA from 1 species